AUGAACGCUGGCGGUAUGCUUAACACAUGCAAGUCGAACGAAGUCCUUCGGGACUUAGUGGCGGACGGGUGAGUAACACGUGAGAAUCUGGCUUCAGGUCGGGGACAACAGUGGGAAACCGCUGCUAAUACCGGAUGUGCCCAAGGGUGAAAGAUUUAUCGCCUGAAGAUGAGCUCGCGACUGAUUAGCUAGUUGGUAGGGUAAGAGCCUACCAAGGCCAUGAUCAGUAACUGGUCUGAGAGGACGAUCAGCCACACUGGGACUGAGACACGGCCCAGACUCCUACGGGAGGCAGCAGUGGGGAAUUUUCCGCAAUGGGCGAAAGCCUGACGGAGCAAUACCGCGUGAGGGAAGAAGGCUCUUGGGUUGUAAACCUCUUUUCUGAGGGAAGAAAAAAAUGACGGUACCUCAGGAAUC
rnacentral:rRNA from 1 species